AACGAACGCUGGCGGCAGGCCUAACACAUGCAAGUCGAGCGAGGACUUCGGUUCUAGCGGCGGACGGGUGAGUAACGCGUGGGAAUGUGCCCUUCUCUACGGAAUAGCCCUGGGAAACUGGGAGUAAUACCGUAUACGCCCUAUUGGGGAAAGAUUUAUCGGAGAAGGAUCAGCCCGCGUUGGAUUAGGUAGUUGGUGGGGUAAUGGCCUACCAAGCCGACGAUCCAUAGCUGGUUUGAGAGGAUGAUCAGCCACACUGGGACUGAGACACGGCCCAGACUCCUACGGGAGGCAGCAGUGGGGAAUCUUAGACAAUGGGGGCAACCCUGAUCUAGCCAUGCCGCGGGAGUGAUGAAGGACUUAGGGUUGUAAAGCUCUUUCAGCUGGGAAGAUAAUGACGGUACCAGCAGAAGAAGCCCCGGCUAACUCCGUG
rnacentral:rRNA from 1 species